GCACCUACGGGGCGCGCAGUCGAGAAUCAUUCACAAUGGGGGAAACCCUGAUGGUGCGACGCCGCGUGGGGGAAUGAAGGGCUUCGGAUUGUAAACCACUGUCAUGUGGGAGCAAAUUAAAAAGAUAGUACCACAAGAGGAAGAGACGGCUAACUCUGUGCCAGCAGCCGCGGUAAUACAGAGGUCUCAAGCGUUGUUCGGAAUCACUGGGCGUAAAGCGUGCGUAGGCUGUUUCGUAACUCGUGUGUGAAAGGCGCGGGCUCAACCCGCGGCCGGCACAUGAUACUGCGAGACUAGAGUAAUGG
rnacentral:rRNA from 1 species